rnacentral:lncRNA from 1 species
CACCUGACCCACUGAGCACACACAAGGAGCAAAUCUAUGCCAGGCCUAGGCCACUUUCCAGAGACUUCUCCUUUGCACAAUGGAAUGCUAUAAAAGUGUUUAUUCCAAAACACAAGAAAGUGUGUUUUUCGAAUACUUAAACUAAAAGAAGGAGGGAUUAUCCUAACCUAACUUCAACUUGGUGAGUAAACAAAGAUGUUGCCACGUCUUUCUAAAUAGUGUAAGAUGCAUCAGAACUUUGUUCAUACUCUUCUUCUUCUUUUUUUCCUGGAUUGAUAUAUUUUUAAGCUCAGUUGGUUCUGCAACAUCAUGACCGUCCCAGAGGAUAGAAACUUUAAAUUGAUCCAAUCAGCCAAGAUCACCGAGAAAAAAAAGAAGAGAAAAGGAAAGAAAAAACAGAAACAAGGGAUUAAAGGAUCGUCCUCAACUAUUCCAGAAAAUAAAGAUAAACGAUUGUCCUCUGAGAUCUCGCCGCUCCUGUGUCCUCAGGAACAAACGCAGAUCCAAGAGCAGCUUCCCAAGCCCAAAGCGAGCAAAAAGAAAAAUGCCAAACCGGGCUCUGGCCGCAGCCAGAAAAGCAAAACACAUCAAAAAGAUUCACAGGCUAUGGUUGAAUUGACUGAUGACACCAGCAGCAGCAGAGCCAUGGCGCAUGAGACUGGGCUUGGUAGGCAGGCUAGAGAGAGUCUGAGGUGGGAAGGAGUUCUACAAGACCCCCAAGAGGAGGCCGAGAGGCUGGAGCAGUACAGAGCCAACAGGCGGCAGCGUUACAUCGCACACAGAGAGGCUCUAUUAAAAAACACCCAGCAAGCCUCAAGAGAAGCUUUAAUUUAA